UACGGGGGAUGCGAGCGUUGUCCGGAAUCAUUGGGCGUAAAGAGUUCGUAGGUGGUUUUUUAAGUCUGGUGUUAAAUGCAGGGGCUCAACCUCUGUUUGGCACUGGAUACUGGAGGACUUGAAUGCGGUAGAGGUAAAGGGAAUUCCUGGUGUAGCGGUGAAAUGCGUAGAUAUCAGGAGGAACAUCGGUGGCGAAAGCGCUUUACUGGGCCGUAAUUGACACUGAGGAACGAAAGCCAGGGUAG
rnacentral:rRNA from 1 species